AGAGUCUCACCAGUGAGAUUGCCGGACAUAUACAUCUGAGAGAGAAAAGGACCUCGUUUUUCCCUGGCCCCUGCCUGAGAGUGAGCUGUUCAGCCGGAAGUUUUUCUGAAUUUACCAGGUACUUAGAGAUCUGCCUGCUUCUGCGUUCCAAGUGCUUGGAUUAAAGAACCUGGAAGAAUCCCUAGUGAUGAAGCUGAGUCUCAUCAAAGUCGUUAAUGGCUGUCGUCUAGGAACAAUACAGAACCUGGGCAAGGCAGGCGACUGCACGGUGGACAUUCCGGGCUGUCUUCUCUACACCAGGACUGGUUCUGCCCCACACCUGACGCAUCACACACUGCAUAAUAUCCAUGGGGUCCCAGCCAUGGCCCAGCUCACACUGUCAACCUUGGCAGAACAUCAUGAAGUCUUGGCAGAGUAUAAGAAAGGAGUUGGGAGCUUUAUAGGCAUGCCAGAAUCCCUCUUCUACUGCUCCCUGCACGAUCCAGUCAGCCCCGGCCCUGCUGGUUAUGUGACAAAUAAGUCUGUGUCCGUGUGGGGUUUUGGAGGUCGCGUGGAAAUGACUGUUUCCAAGUUCAUGGCAAUUCAGGAGGCCCUGCAACCAGACUGGUUCCAGUGCCUCUCAGAUGGGGAGGCAUCGUGUGCAGAAGCAACUUCCAUAAAAAGGGCCAGGAAGUCUGUGGAUCGGUCACUUCAGUUCCUGGACAGCUGUUUGCGACUACAGGAAGAGUCUGAGGUCCUUCAGAAAAGUGUGGUCAUUGGAGUGAUUGAAGGUGGAGAUGUGAUGGAAGAGAGGUUGAGGUCGGCACGAGAGACAGCCAAGCGGCCCGUGGGGGGCUUCCUUCUGGACGGCUUUCAAGGGAACCCCACGGUCCCAGAAACCAGGCUGCACUUGCUGUCGUCAGUCACCAAAGAGCUGCCCGAGGACAAACCAAGGCUCAUCUGCGGGGUCAGCCGGCCAGAUGAAGUGCUCGAGUGUGUUGAAAGAGGAGUGGACUUAUUUGAGAGUUUUUUCCCCUAUCAAGUGACCGAGCGGGGCUGUGCCCUGACUUUCACCUUUGAUUGCCAGCUGAAUCCUGAAGAGACAUUAUUGCAACAAAAUGGAAUCCAAGAAGAAAUAAAAUGCUCGGAUCAAAUGAAGAAAAGCGAAGCAACUAGGUGCAACCAAGAAAUGAGAUCAUUGGAAAUUAAUCUGAAGGAGAAAAAGUUGUAGUCCAUCACUGAAGGAAGCCAGGGCAGGAAUUCUUAUACAACCCAGGACCACCUUCCCGGAGUGGUACAACCCAUACUGGGCUGCGCCCUUCCACAUCAAUCAAGAAAAUGCCCCAUAGAGAUGCCUAUAGGCCAAUUUAAUGGAAAUUCCUCAAUUGAGGAGCCUUCUUCUCAGACCAGAAGAGGGCACCAGAUCUCAUUAUAGAUGGUUGUGAGCCACCAUGUGGUUGCUGGGAAUUGAACUCAAGACCUCUGGAAUAGCAGCCUGUGCUCCUAACCUCUGAGUCAUUCUCCAGCCCUGCUUACGACACUUUUAAUGCGAGAAGGUAAGACACAUUUUCUCUGGCAAAGAGUCGAUACUGAGAUGGAGAGGAUGGAGAUGGGUGGGAUGGAGCUACUGACGAAACUUCUGUUUAUUUUAUUGAAACUAUUCAUCCUUUCACAUGUUUUUUUUUUUUCUGAAUCCUUUCUCACAUUAGUGAAGAAGUACCGAAACCUUACACCUCCUCAGUCUUGUUUUUGAGGAUAUAUUGAUUUAUUCUCAUUUGUAAAAGCUUUCUCCCACUUCCAUUAUGUGUGUAGAACUUUACUUUGCAUGAGAACAGGGUCUCUGCUCCCUCACCUCACUUUCACCUGAUAAUUCUAAGCAAGCCCCACUCAUGGUGUUCUCAUUCUCAUCCACCCCAGUCUUCUAAGCAGCUUUGUCCUUAUCAUAUUUUCAAAUGAGAAAUAAUUCAAUUCAGAGUACAAUAGCAUUGUCAUCUUGUGAAGCACUCUCCCUUCCAUGUGGGUAGAACAGGGCAAUUCUUGACUUAAAAGACCCAGUGUUCCCAGCUCACCAUCUUCUCUAAGUACCUUUCAUUCUGCCCAGUUCCAUGCUCAAAAGUUCUGCCCUUGAUAUUUCCAGCAAACAGACCUAUGAUUAAAUAUAAGGAGAAUAUAUUCUUUUAUAUGUGAGUCAUGCUUUGCCUUCUACAUUAUCUUCCACAUUCCCCCCUCCCAACGCUUUUAUAAGAUGGAACAGAAAUUACUGUCCUCAUUUACUCCUGCAGAGACCGCGGUAUAAAGACAUCCACUUCUUAGAGUUUUCAACUGCAGAAGGAAGACUUUAAUUGAAGUUAAUAGAAACAGAACAGUCAGCAAAGGGGAGUUCCACACCAUCGUGGUAUCUGACACAGACAAUUCCAUGCACAAGAACCUUCUUCAUCUGGCUCUGCUCAGGGAUUUUCCUGGAAGCAAGUGCAUUUGAGUGAGGUUUCCUUGUACAACAAAGAUUUGCUGCAAUGCAUGGUGUGCUGGAUAGUUUUAUGUCAACUUGACACAAGCUAAAGUCAUCCAAGAGGAGGGGACCUCAAUGAAGAAAAUGCCUCCCUAAGAUGGAGCUGUAGGCAAGCCUAUAGAGCAUUCUCUUAAUUAGUUUGAUGGGGGAGGUCCCAGUCCAUUGUGGGUGGUACCGUUCCUGGGCUGGUGAUCUUGGGUUCUAUAAGAAAGCAGGCUGGGCAAGCCAUGGGGAGCAAGCCAGUAUGCCUCACCCUUCCAUGGCCUCUGCAUCAGCUCCUGCCUCCAGGAUCCUGCCCUGUUUGAGUUCCUGUCCCAACUUUCUUCGAUGAUGAACAGUGAUGUGGAAGUGUAAGCCAAAUAAACCCUUUCCUCCCCAACUUGCCUUUGGGCUAUGGUGUUUCCUUGCAGCAAUAGAAACCCUCACUAAGAGAGAUGAGCAGAGAGUUCCUCACUUAAGAAAAGCAGAGCUUGGGAGAGAAGCCAGGGGUUUUCACCAGUCCCAGUAGAGGCUGGAGACAGCCAGAGAUGAGAAGGAAAGACAGCAAGGAGAUGGGAGGGAGAAGGGGGGAGUGACAGAGAAGGAAAAAGUGUGAAACCAUUUGCCCCCAAUUUAUCUUUAUGAAAAUUUGCUAUGUGAAAAUGCCCACUUGAAAAUGAGGUAACUAAAGAAGUAAUUAUUUGCAUUACAAAUUAACUUUUCACUUCAAAAGAGUAUUUACCACAGGUGUGACUCUAUGAUGUGAGACUUCCAGCAAAGAAUAGGAGUUGGGAGAGGUGGGAGAUUUAAACAAUAAACUCCUGGUUGGAAUAUAAUGGGAAGUAAUUCCAGUGAUAAAGGGGAGCAUUCAUAAAGAAAUAGGCGGUGGUACAGGGAGUUCUUUGCAGAGUGCAGGCUUUGAAAGGGACGUGAACAAAAGGCACAUGCUGGAGAGGGGGGCAGUGAUAGAUACACUUCAACACAAAAACCUAUCAUGCACCUUCAAGAACCGAAUGAAGGAGGGUAAAGCCAGGGAGCCUUAGGAACAGAGCUGCUUCGCUUAGGGAAAAGGAGAAGUGCAAACAUGGAGUGACUCAUAUUGUGAGUAAGUAGUGGAAUGUCAACAGACUGUAAGAAUUUGUACAUUUUCAUUUGCUUAUUUUGCUCAUGAAUACUCCAAGGUGCAAAAGAUGGCUUUAACAAAAUGGAGAAGAUGGUAUUUCUCUUAGAAUGUAUUUGUGUAGAAGGCACACACUGACAGGAACUCAGUUGAAAAAGGGGUAGAAAUCCUUGGAGAUUCAUCUAGGCAUCCAGGGUAGAAGAGUGGGUGUUUCCAGACCAUAUUUGAGAUGAAGAUGGUGAAGGGGAGACACGGAAAAGAGAAAGAAUGUGGGAUACGGUGACCUGCGAUUCUUCCCUAUUUUUUCCUCGGCUCACAGCUCAGAUGAUUCCACCAAAUUUUAUCCGUUGCUUGGUACAAGCGGAUUUAUUGUGGGAGUGGAAGGAACUCAGCUCAGCUCCCUUAGGGAACCUGGGAAAGAUGAAAACCAAGUCUCUGAGGCAGUAGCCAGAGGGAAGGGACAUAAGGACCCAGCACAUUCAAUUUUUAAAGGCAGCAACCACUGUCUUAGUUACUCUUGUGUUACUGUGACUCAGCUUGUAGACGCAAAGGAGGAAUGAUUUAUUUUAGCUCACGGUUUCAGAACAUCACAGUUCAUCAUGGUGGAGAAAUUUUGAAAGAGUCCACGCUGAUGGGAGCCUGUGGCAGAGGUUUCUCCCGUUACAGUGGACCAUGAAGGGAGAGUGGGCUGGAACCAGGUGGGCAGUGAUAACCUUCAAAGACCUGCCCCUAGUGUACACUUAUGGCAGAUAGGCCCAUAUCCUAAAAGUCCUACAGCCUCCUAAAAGAGCAGUGCCAGCUGGUGAACAAGCAUUCACACCUGAGCCUGUGGAGGACGUCUAAGUUUCAAACCAGAACAGUUUACUUCCGGUUUCCAAGGAUGGUGACCGUCUCAUACCACACAUUUAUCCAACUUCAGGAGUCUCACCACCUAAACAGUCUCAGCAACACCUAAAUGUUUUUUUUGUUUGUUUGUUUUUGUUUUUGUUUUGUUUUUAAUGCGAAUGAGCGUUUUGCCUGCCCGUAUAUAUGUGUACCACGUAUGUGCCUGGUACCCAUGGAGGUCAGAAGAGGACAUCAGAUCCCUUGGAAGUGAAGCUAUGGUUGGUUGUGAGCCAGCAUAUGGGUGUUGGGAGUCAAAUCCAGGUCCUCUGUAAGAGCAACAGUGCCUUUAACUGCUGAGGCCAUUUCUGCAGCCCCAACAAGGCACACUUCUGUGUGUCCCAGUAUCAUAAAAAAGGAACUUACAUAAUUCCAAUACACAAUGGUGUACAAAUGAAGCAAACAUUCCCAUUCUAAAAUGGAGGGAAAUUGGACCAAAGCAAGACUGAAACCUCCAAGAGCAAAUACCAGACGCUGGGUCUCCAUGUCUAGCAUCCAGGGAAUAGGAUGUCAUUAAGUGGACUCCAAUAGACUUGGGUAGCUCUUCUCCUACGGCCUUUCUACCUGUAGCAUACAUGACCUUUCACCUAGGCUGGCUUCUCUCAGUACCAUUUCUUUAGCAAAUGUCAUGUGAUUUUUAGCAUCUCUAAAAUCCUCCAGUUUCCAUUACAACUUAAGCUUUACACUGAUAACUUCUCAGGAGCUUCCUGCAGGGAAUUUGACCCUGCUACACACUUCUUGGCCUCAAAAGCAUUCUCUUCUUUUAAGGACACUAAUAUCAUCAUAUCAGAACCUCAUUAUUAUGACCUAGCGUAUCCCUAAUUAUGUCCCUGUAGGUCUUAUAUUCAGAUAUGGUUAGAUUGUUGGUUAGGGCUUAACAUAGAAAUUUUGGGGAGACACAGCUGAGUUUCUAGCAAAGUCCUCUAUAGCCAUUAAUUGUUAAUUCAGUUUCUACUUCAUGCCCAAGUCAACUCCUACUGUAUUGUUUGUCUCUGUAGAUUUUUGGUUUGGGUACAUGUCAUACAAAUAGGGUUGUGUAAUUGACCUCCCAGCUUCUGCUAGAGGUGGAAGCCAUUGCCUCUUUUACAGCAGGCAAGCACUCUAUCACUGAACUAUGUCCCCAGCUCUUGUGUUUUCUUUUUUGUUAUUGUUGUUUGUUGUUUGGAGACAAGGUCCUGCCAUGUAGCCAAGGCUAGUCUUGAGCUUAUUAUGUAGCCCAGGCUCUUCUCAAACACAUGGUCUUCUGUCUUGGUCUCCUGAGUGCUGAGAUUCCAGGCAUGUAAGACCAGUCUGGCUAAUAACUUACAGUAAGUUUUGAAAGCAGGAAGUGAAAAUUCUCCAGCUUCCCCCACUUUUGGAAAUGAUUAAUUUCUGUCUUUAUGGAUUUACCUAUUCUGGAUAUUUCUUCUUUUAAAAUGUGUUUUGGCUAGUCUGGGUUUUUUGCAUUUCUAUAUAAAUUUACAAUCUGCUCGUGAGAUUUUUUUUUAAGAAGAAAAAGCCUCCUGGAAUGAGAUAUUGCAUAAGUAUACAUAUCAACUUGAAGAAAAUUGUCAUCUUAACAUGCUGAGUCUUCCAAUCUGAGUAUAUGACAUAUUAGAGGUCCCCAUUCUUCUAACUAAUUUGUUAAUUUUUCAUAAUUAAAAGUUUUAAUUGAUAUAAAAUUAGUCAUUUUAAAGUGAAUAAUUCAAUGACAUUUAGUGACUUACAAUAUUGUGCAACCACUCCAUCUAUGCAGUUCUGUUUUCAUUAUCAUAGGAGAAAACCAGGAACCCAUCAAGCAGGUAGCCCCCAUUCCCCUUUCUUUCCAUUCUUGGAAAUAAACAAUCUCCUUUUUCUCUCUGUGAAUUUAUCUAUUCUGAAUAUUUCAUAAGAAUAAAAUCAUAAUUGAUGUGAUUUAUGUGUCUGGCUUCUUGCAUUAGUGUAAUGUGUUCAUCUAUAUUGUACCAUGGACCAAUAUUUUAUUCCUUCGUAUUGAAAAGAUGAAAAUUACUUUGAGACCAGCUAGAGAUUAUAGGCCGUCCUACUAAACUUCCAUAGGAAGAGACACCAACUGGAUUCCUGAUGUUGUUUCUAGAGUCUACUACAUGAAAAAAAGUGCUACAAAGGAUAGAUUGUGGAAGAUGCUGGCAUGUGCCUCCUAGAGCUCAUGCAGGGAUUUAGUCCACUAGUUGUUGUGAGUCACUAUGUGGUCACUGGGAAUUGAACUCAGGACCUCCAGAAGAGCACUCAGUGCUCUUAACCACUGAGCCAUCUCUCCAGCCCUAGUCUGCUAUUUGUUAAGAAUGGAAUAAAAGCUUUCAACAUACGCGAGCCUUUGCCUAAAUCAUGUCUCCUCCUUAGAGGUAGUUCUCAUCCAGUGACUGGUUGGGAUCAAAAUGGUCUACCCACUUCGUGGGUCCGGGGGACUCUCCUCUGUGCUGCUUCCUCACACUCUCUGCACCUACCCCUGCUUCCUCCAUCCUCCUUGGAUGUGUUGAUCCCUAAGUCAUAGCCCAUUAAACAUCUCCAUUCUCUAUGCAAAUUUCCUUUUCAGAAUUUCAAUCUGAGCCCUACAAAGUCAAUGCAAUUUGAGUUGGGUCAUUAAAAAUUGAAUAUUCCAAUCAUGGGAAAUAAUGAAUCUAUGGCACUCUGAGCUGAUUCAACAACAUUUAAAGGAUAAUAACCUACUGAGGUCUUGUAGUUUAAGAGAAACUAAUGAAAUGGCUGUAUUCAGAGGAAAUCAACUAAGAUAGGUGGUACAAGAGAAUGCUUCUUGAAUUAGAGACAGAGGAAUUGAAACUGUGAGGACUGUCUUAAUCUCACAUAUGGAAGAUGAACCUACAGACUAGUUUUGAAAGAGGUAGAUUUUGGCUGAAUGAUAUCAGGAUUGUUUUCAUAAAUAAAAAAAGGGUAUAAUUUUAUUUUAUGUGUUUGGAUGUUUCCCCUGCAUGUAUGUCUGUGCACAGUUGCAUGUCUGGUGCCUGUGGAGGUCAGAAGAGGGUGUCAGAUCCCCGGGAACUAGAGUUACAGAUGGUGAUGAGCCUCUAUGCUGAGAGUCAAACUCUGGUCCUCUGCAAAUGCAGCAAGCGUGCUUAUCUGCCAAGCCAUCUCUCCAGACCUGGCAGGAAUUUUUUAAAAGGAUAACUUGUCACAUGUCUUGGGAAGUAAUGAGCCAGCUCCUUAAUAUAGAUGGAUGAUGAUGGAUCAGCAAUGUUCAAGAGAGGAUUUCUGCACUAAGAACUGGAAUACAGUCCUUUUCAAUUCUCAAAUCUCAUGAUUAUAGCUUAUGAUAAAUUAUAAGCUUUUUAAGGGUCUUACUAUGGAGAUGUAUAGAAUCUGCUCAACUGUAAUACAAGAUUCAGUGUUGUCAGUGUUUCUUAAAGGGAAAAAAAUACCCCCCACCACUUUCAGUCUGUCUAGAGUGACAUGGCAUGGCACAGGAUAUAUACAGGAUAUUUUCAUGUAUCAUCCCCACCUACAAUGAGUUGAUUGUUCAGUUCCGCCUUUUAAGACACAAAGAAGCAAAUGGUUGAUUUUGAAUUAGCUCUGACUUUUAUUAAUAAGCAUGUUUACAAGUUUUAAGGGCUCAGCAGAUAAUUUAUAUCUUGCUACAAAUAGCUUUAGCAUGUAUUAGCAUAGCCUUAGGAAUUCAGGCUAGACACUUUUACUAAAAAUUAAGUGGAACUCCGGGGAGUUUAUAGAGUUGACCCAGACCAUGAAGGGAUUGUGUACCAGGGAUGAAAUCCAACCUCUCAUAUUGUAGAUGAUAGGACUUUCAUACUUAUAUCCAAAUUUAUCCACAUUCCAAAUCUUCUUCCUUCCGGACCACUCUCAUCAUAUUUUAUGUGUUGAAUUGUAUUACACACACACACACACACACACACACACACACACACACACACACACACACACCAAAAAAACAAAACAAAACAAACAAACAAACAAAAAGCUAAAGUCCUAAACCCU